rnacentral:lncRNA from 1 species
CUUUAUACACACAACCUACUUUCUCUUUCAUCAUGGACGUGGUAGUUAUUGGUAGUUGUAACAUGGACCUCUCAACGUAAGCAUUUAGUAGAAAUGUCACAAAAUCAUGCACAACACCCUCCAAAAUUGUUUGGUGUAAGUAAAAUAAAAUAUAUAAAUAUAUAUAUACUGAUUGUGUGGCAACGCCCACCUUUUACGCUCAGCAUGCACGAGUCUGUCCUCAAACUCUGUCAACACCAUUGCUGGUCACCAAAGGUGCAAGAGGCGACGGUGUAGCGAAAUCCAACUCGUCAACACACGGUCGAUGAUUUCACAAACGGUCAGCCGAAUUCCAGCCUCAGUAUUGUCCACUUUAUUAGUCGAUAAAACCAGAGACAUAUAAAUACAUGUAUUAUAUGUCUCUGAUAAAACUAUAGAAUUACCGGACACGACUGUACGAUACAUUAUGCUCCCACAACUCGACUAUAUAAUGAUUCUUCUGGAAAAGAGACAGAGAGCCGAGACUCGGAGAGUGAGAGCGAGCGUAAUAUAUCCAUACUCCAACAAGCGCUAAUUAUGAGGCAGGUCUGAAGUCUAACUAGAAAAUUCACUGCACUAUGAUGUACUGACAUGUAAACAACUUGGUUACCUUUCCAUCGUCAUUAAUACUGCUGCAUGGUACCCUAAGGAAAAACGAAGCGAAAAGAUGAGACUCCAAUUAAUCCAAUCAACUUGCAUAAUAUAUACAUACUAACCAAUAUGGGCUAAACUUUUCCUAAAUGUGUUGCUGCUGAUUUAACAAAAACCUUAAUUAUUUGUUCAUCUUUGUGCCCAUUUAAAAUUCUCUGAAUUAACAGUCUUGGAUAUUUUGACUUUUAACAUCCAGCUGUGUAGAUAAGUUUUAUCGUCAUUUGAUUGUUAUUCGUGUAUCUUCAUCUUGCAUCGAUUGUUAUAACGUACAUAAAGGAUGUGUAUGAGGCGGGCAACUAUCCACAUUAGAUCAAAUGACGUGGAAAUAAACAAAUUAAUACAUGCCCUUUACAACGAGAAACCUAAUGAAAGAGCUGACAUGAACAAUAUGAAACAAUUCAACAAGCAAACCAAUGGCCUGAUUUAGAAUAAUACGUUUGACGAAAAAUAAUACGAGAAAAAUUCAGGACCAACAACAACCUCUGUUCCUAACUUAGGACAGGCACAUAAAGAAUGUGAUGGGGUUAAACAUGUUUGUAAUCGCCCAACCGUCCAUCUAACCUGUGUUAUUGUCUGUAAAUGUCUUAAUUCAAAAGAUCGGUACAAACUGGGACUAUUAUAGUCCCAGAUACAAAGCAAAGAACAAUGAUCUUAUGGACAAUAGACACAAAGCACAGAUACAUUAAAGAAAGCUCGCAGUUAAGGAAAGUUAGUUCAAGGCCAAUUACAAUUAAUAAAUAAAUCAUGCUCUCCAAGGAUAAAGUUAUUGGUAUGUCAACAUCAGAGUUACAUUAUUUUCUGUUCAAUGUCACUGAGUUUUCGUUUGAGUACAAUUUAUUUUGUUAAGUUAUUCCAGUUAAAGAAAAAUGGAUAUAAAAGUAGCCUUUUCCAACUGAUUUUUAUAGUUCAUUCUUAUGAUUUACUGUUACACCACUGUCCCAGGUUAGGGGAGGGUUGGGAUCCCGCUAACAUGUUAAAAACAAAUGUUUGUGCCGGUCCUAAGUCAGGAGCCUAUAAUUCAGUGGUUGUCGUUUGUUGAUGUGUAACCUAUUUGUUUUUCGUUCAUUUUUUGUACAUAAAUUAGGCCGUUAGUUUCAUGUCUCGAUUGAAUUGUUUUACAUUUGUCAUUUCUGGGCCUUUUACAGCUGAGUAUGCGGUAUGGGCUUUGCUCAUUGUUAAAGGCCGUACGAACGGUGACCUAUAGUGGUUAAUAUCUGUGUCAUUUGGUCUCUCGUGGAGAGUUGUCUCAUUAGUAGUCACAAAACAUCUUCUUUUUGAUGUAUAGAAAAUGAGUCAAUACCUAUAACCGUUAUUUUUUAUAUUAUAGCUGGUUAUUUUGAAUCUCUGAAUCCCAAUUCGUGUUUUCAAGACAUUUUCAAGACAAAAAAUAAAAAGAAUUACUGGUACUAGUUACAUAUAUUGAAUAAUUUUUAAAUCUUCAAUAUUGCUUGUAGUAGAAAACAUGUUAAGACUCUGUUAGUAGUAGGCAAACAAUUAAAUGGUUUAAUUAUAUUGUUUGAAAUAUAUUCACAUAGUAUAGAUAAAAGACGCAAAAUGCAAGGCUUUAAAUACAUGCAGCAGAUCCUUAGAUAACCAGGAAUUUCUGAAUUAGUGGUGCAUCAUUUACGGUAACUUGAUUUUCAUUUCUUCAUUGCCAGAUUUGCUCCAAGGUUUCCUAAGCCGGGCGAAACCAUGACUGGGCAUAAAUAUGUUGUUGGAUUUGGCGGGAAGGGUGCAAAUCAAUGUGUGUCAGCAGCAAGACUUGGCUGUAAAACGGCAAUGGUUGGAAAGGU